UACAGAGGUCCCGAGCGUUGUUCGGAUUCAUUGGGCGUAAAGGGUGCGUAGGCGGCGGGGUAAGUUUGAUGUGAAAUCCCGGGGCUCAACCCUGGAAUUGCAUUGAAUACUACCUUGCUAGAGUACCGGAGAGGAAACUGGAAUUUACGGUGUAGCAGUGAAAUGCGUAGAGAUCGUAAGGAAGACCAGUGGCGAAGGCGAGUUUCUGGACGGUAACUGGACGCUGAGGCACGAAGGCCAGGGGAGCAAACGGG
rnacentral:rRNA from 1 species